CCUACGGGAGGCUGCAGUAGGGAAUUUUCGUCAAUGGGCGCAAGCCUGAACGAGCAAUGCCGCGUGAACGAGGAAGGUCUUCUGAUCGUAAAGUUCUGUUGAAGGGGAAAAAGAGCGGAGAGAGGAAAUGGUCUCCGAUUGAUAUUACCCUUCGAGGAAGUCACGGCUAACUACGUGCCAGCAGCCGCGGUAAUACGUGGGUGGCGAGCGUUAUCCGGAAUGAUUGGGCGAAAGGGGUGCGUAGGCGGCCUGCUAAGUCUGGAGUGAAAGGUACCGGCUCAACCGGUACAGGCUCUGGAAACUGGCGGGCUAGAGAGCAGGAGAGGGCGGUGGAACGCCAUGUGUAGCGGUAAAAUGCGUAGAUAUAUGGAAGAACACCAGUGGCGAAGGCGGCCGCCUGGCCUGUGACUGACGCUGAGGCACGAAAGCGUGGGGAGCAAAUAGGAUUAGAUACCCCUGUAGUC
rnacentral:rRNA from 1 species